GACGAACGCUGGCGGCGUGCUUAACACAUGCAAGUCGAACGAAGUGGCGAACGGGUGAGUAACGCGUAAUCAACUUGCCCUUCAGCGGGGGACAACAGUUGGAAACGACUGCUAAUACCGCAUACUGAAGGAGGGGAUUGCGUCUGAUUAGCUAGUUGGAGGGGGAACGGCCCACCAAGGCGAUGAUCAGUAGCCGGUCUUAGAGGAUGAACGGCCACAGUGUGACUGGGACACGGCCCAGACUCCUACGGGGGAGAGCAGUGGGGAAUCUUCCGCAAUGGACGAAAGUCUGACGGAGAAACGCCGCGUGAGUGAUGACAGCCUUCGGGUUGUAAAGCUCUGUUAAUCGGGACGCGGUACCGGAAUAGAAAGCCACGGCUAACUACGUGGCAGCAACCGCGGUAAUAC
rnacentral:rRNA from 1 species